rnacentral:tRNA from 1 species
CAAGACGUAGCUUUAACCAAAGCAUUCAGCUUACACCUGAAAGAUACCUGGUAACAUCGGGUCGUCUUGA